rnacentral:rRNA from 1 species
ACUUUAAUUGAAGAGUUUGAUCAUGGCUCAGAUUGAACGCUGGCGGCAGGCCUAACACAUGCAAGUCGGGCGGUAACAGGAAUCAGCUUGCUGAUUUGCUGACGAGCGGCGGACGGGUGAGUAAUGUCUGGGAAACUGCCUGAUGGAGGGGGAUAACUACUGGAAACGGUAGCUAAUACCGCAUAACGUCUUCGGACCAAAGUGGGGGACCUUCGGGCCUCAUGCCAUCAGAUGUGCCCAGAUGGGAUUAGCUAGUAGGUGGGGUAAAGGCUCACCUAGGCGACGAUCCCUAGCUGGUCUGAGAGGAUGACCAGCCACACUGGAACUGAGACACGGUCCAGACUCCUACGGGAGGCAGCAGUGGGGAAUAUUGCACAAUGGGCGCAAGCCUGAUGCAGCCAUGCCGCGUGUAUGAAGAAGGCCUUCGGGUUGUAAAGUACUUUCAGCGAGGAGGAAGGUGUUGUGGUUAAUAACCACAGCAAUUGACGUUACUCGCAGAAGAAGCACCGGCUAACUCCGUGCCAGCAGCCGCGGUAAUACGGAGGGUGCAAGCGUUAAUCGGAAUUACUGGGCGUAAAGCGCACGCAGGCGGUUUGUUAAGUCAGAUGUGAAAUCCCCGGGCUCAACCUGGGAACUGCAUUUGAAACUGGCAAGCUUGAGUCUCGUAGAGGGGGGUAGAAUUCCAGGUGUAGCGGUGAAAUGCGUAGAGAUCUGGAGGAAUACCGGUGGCGAAGGCGGCCCCCUGGACGAAGACUGACGCUCAGGUGCGAAAGCGUGGGGAGCAAACAGGAUUAGAUACCCUGGUAGUCCACGCCGUAAACGAUGUCGACUUGGAGGUUGUGCCCUUGAGGCGUGGCUUCCGGAGCUAACGCGUUAAGUCGACCGCCUGGGGAGUACGGCCGCAAGGUUAAAACUCAAAUGAAUUGACGGGGGCCCGCACAAGCGGUGGAGCAUGUGGUUUAAUUCGAUGCAACGCGAAGAACCUUACCUGGUCUUGACAUCCAGAGAAUCCUGCAGAGAUGCGGGAGUGCCUUCGGGAACUCUGAGACAGGUGCUGCAUGGCUGUCGUCAGCUCGUGUUGUGAAAUGUUGGGUUAAGUCCCGCAACGAGCGCAACCCUUAUCCUUUGUUGCCAGCACGUAAUGGUGGGAACUCAAAGGAGACUGCCGGUGAUAAACCGGAGGAAGGUGGGGAUGACGUCAAGUCAUCAUGGCCCUUACGACCAGGGCUACACACGUGCUACAAUGGCGCAUACAAAGAGAAGCGACCUCGCGAGAGCAAGCGGACCUCAUAAAGUGCGUCGUAGUCCGGAUUGGAGUCUGCAACUCGACUCCAUGAAGUCGGAAUCGCUAGUAAUCGUGGAUCAGAAUGCCACGGUGAAUACGUUCCCGGGCCUUGUACACACCGCCCGUCACACCAUGGGAGUGGGUUGCAAAAGAAGUAGGUAGCUUAACCUUCGGGAGGGCGCUUACCACUUUGUGAUUCAUGACUGGGGUGAAGUCGUAACAAGGUAACCGUAGGGGAACCUGCGGUUGGAUCACCUCCUUACCUGCAAGA